ACUGUUCUACGGGGCGCAGCAGUGGGGAAUAUUGCACAAUGGGGGAAACCCUGAUGCAGCGACGCCGCGUGGGUGAAGGAGCGUUUCGGCGCGUAAAGCCCUAUCGGCAGGGAAGAAGAUGACGGUACCUGGCCAAGAAGCCCCGGCUAACUACGUGCCAGCAGCCGCGGUAAUACGUAGGGGGCAAGCGUUAUCCGGAUUUACUGGGUGUAAAGGGGGCGCAGACGGCAAUGCAAGCCAGGAGUGAAAGCCCGGGGCCCAACCCCGGGACUGCUCUUGGAACUGCAUGGCUGGAGUACAGGAGG
rnacentral:rRNA from 1 species